rnacentral:lncRNA from 1 species
AGGGGUGCCAUGUGAUUAGAUCCCAUGAAGAAGAACAUGAAAGGAAGAACUUACUUUUCUGUAAAAUUUUAGAUUUUGAAAUCUUAGGUUUGUUAUAUGUGAUACAAAGUUGUAUGAAAUGUAAGACAUCUAAUCUAUGUGAUUAAAAUUAUUUUAAUCAUAAAAAAAUAAAAUUUCAAAUUAUUAAAGUUUUAGAUAUGAUCUAAAAGUGAUAUGAUUGAUUUUAUUUUAGUGUUAUACA